CGACAUUUUAUUGAAUGAUUAAAUACAAACAUUUUCAGGACAACAAAAACAUUAAAACAAGUUUUUCAUUGAUAUAUUCAUAAUAUACUCAUAUUUAUUAAAAUAUGACUUAGAGGAUUAGGAAAAAUACAUAAAAAAAGAUUUCUUUUUCUUUUCUUUUCUUUUUUAUUGUAUUUCUUUAUUCAUUUUUUUAGAUAAAGAGAUGUAAGUCGGUUCAAUUCUAAAGUAAUAGUCUGUCAGGAACUUUUUAUGUACAUACAAUAUACCAUAUAAAGCUACUAAAUUGACCUAAAUUUGAUUGAUCUAUAAUAACAAAUAUUUUUUUUUUUUUUUUUUUAAGUUAAAAAAAGGUAAUUUCAGGAGGAAUGCUCAAAUUAGAGCACAAAUCAGACCAUAAUUCACAAUAUUCACAAUUAAAUAAUAAUAAUAAUAAUAAACAAUAAAACUGCUAUCAAGUUGAAAGCUUACAGGCAAUAAUUUAAAGCAGAUUUCUUUAAAUUAGAGUAGGCUACUGAUUCAAUAGUCAUAUUCAAUAGCAAUAUAUUUAACUUUUUAUUUGAUUUUAUUUAUUUAUUAUUAUUAUUUUAAGCAAUAGAAUUGCUCUCUGCGUGUGAAAAGUUUGAAGAAGUUGCUGAAAGUGCAUUACAUUUAUUGCCAAAUAAACUAGUUAUGCUUUAUUUCAAAUAAACUGAGUCAGAUGAAAUAGUUACGCGCAACCCUAUUGCAACAUGACCUGAAGUUCUCCUGUUUCAUCAGCAGGGGGCGACAUUCAACUAUCUCGUAGUAACAGACCUCCUCAACCCGGUUAAAGUCUUCGAGAUUUUCUUAGGGUUAUGGAAGAUCUAUUAAUAAAAUUUGACUGAUAAAGACUGGUAAGAAAACAAUAUUUUGAAACUGGAGGUCUAUUUGCAGCGGAUUAACGUCACAAAACAAUUUCACAAAGGCAUAUUCUUUCACAUAUUCUGCCGAGACGAGCUUAAAUUAAGAGGUGUUUGAAGACGUAUUUAUAAAGCAGGCUAUCCCAUCUGUGUGUGUGUGUGUGUAUAUAUAUAUAUAUAUAUAUAUAUAUAUAUAUAUAUAUAUAUAUAUAUAUAUAUAUAUAUAUAUAUAUAUUUAUAUAUAUAUAUAUAUAUAUAUAUAUAUAUUUAUUUAAUACUUAAAUCUCUAAUCAUUCUUCCGUUUCGAACGAAAUUUUCAAUUUGUCUGUAUACUACAUGUCACAUGGAGCCAUAUUCGGACUUCUCUUCUAAGACAAAGAACAUCUGCAUGUAGGUUAAUCAUUCUACAUGCGUUCAGUCUUAAAUACUCGACACGUGUAAAUAAACAACGGCAUUAUGAUUUCAGAGGUCUCGAAAUGUAAAUGUGUCACUUUUCAUUUUAAUAUGGGCUAUUUCAUAAAUAAAAGUGACUAAAGUCAGGUGUGUGAGAUUCUGUUUGAGAUCAGCACCACUCAGCAUCAAACAAAACCUUUCUUAUAUAUUUAUUUUAAAGGAUUUCAAUGAUGAUAAUUAUGCAAUGAUCAAUUAAACUGUUGCAUUAAAACAAAAAUACCCUGAGAAAAGAAAUUAAUAAAUAUUAUUGUGAACACUGAUCGUUUAAGUCUCAGUUAACUUGGCUUUUGAUUUUUAAGAAUUGCCGAGGACCCUUUCAAUUAAAUAUAUAAUUAUAACUGAAUUUAUUUCAUAUUAUUCUUUAUACCUGCCUCCACUGUCCUAAUAACUUGACUUUAGCAGAUGUCCCAAUUGUUCUGAUGACAAACAUGGCUGCUAUCAUAUGCCACGCCCACCACUCAAUAAUCCUUAAAAUACUACCUAAAUUUGACCCACAAGUCGCAAUAUUUAAUUUUUUUGACAAGACUACCUAUUACAGAAGAUAUUUACAAUGUGCCAUGGCAUGUAAAACUUCAUUUGAGCCUUCAGUCUCACUGCAAAGUUGAAAUAGUGCUUCUAAGUGAGACUCCAACCACCAACACCAAAAGGAUGAUAAAAUGUUAAAAAUAUAUAUUUGGUGGAUGUCAAAAUGUGAAAUAACACAACUUUCUAUUAAAAGAGAUGUUGUUAUAUGCACUGUAAUAGCGAAUAUCACUCAGAAAUAAGUCUUUUUACGAAGCCUUUGAAUAUUCAAAUUGAAAGUAUCGCGCAAUCAAAUCAUUGUCAAAUCAUUGAGUUCUUGGGGUUUUAAAUAGUAGGGAUGAGGGCAGAAAAACUCAAACUAAAAUAUCCCUAGCUAUAUUACUGUAUAAUUGUAUGUCCUGAGAGUGUUUUGAGGUUACUUUAUUGAGACUUUUUAAGACUUUUGUGAAUAAUUCGUUCUUGCCCAUAUAACAGAGCAAAGAACUGAAGUUGGGGUAUUUUACUGUAGCUCUGCCAGAGAUUUCCUCCUUUUCAGACCAAUAUGUCUGCAGAUAAGCCCAAGGUGUACCAGGGUGUGCGUGUGAAGACCACUGUUAAGGAGUUACUGCAGAAGCACAGAGCCCUGCAGGCACAGAAAACCGCAACGAAAUCACAAGCCAUGGCUGCUCGCGAUGUCUGCUCUACGACCAUGAAUACCCACCUUGAUGUCUUUGGAAUGCAAGCUCCAGAGCCCUAUUUCCAGACACGUCCCUUUACCGAAAAUGUCAAUAUCCCGAUGGAGAAUGCUUAUGAUCAUCAACAAAUGAUGCACCUGAUGCCACAUGAGACUUUCAGCGGCAGUAAUUUCGUGUGUCCCACUUCUUCGCAGUGGUCUAAUGGAUAUAUUCCUUCUAACACGGACCUCUAUGGUACUAGCCUGGUAUCGAGAUCACCCUCUGAUACUUUCAAUCUCCCAAGUCCAGUCGACUACAACAGUUACUCUCCCCCUCAGUCCAACUCUUCAUCUUCUUCGUGCUACAGCUCUCCAACGCGGAUGGAUUUGAGCUCUAGUUUCUCUCCAGAAAAUUACCACUAUCAGCAUUGCAACCUACAGAAUUGCUUUUGUCUUUCGCAUUGGUCCAAUCUGCAGGAAGGCAUGGCAACCUCGGAGUUUGCGCCCUACGGCUCUUCAGACUGUUUGUAUUCAUAUGGCGACGACAGUUAUUUCAGAAGGGAUACUUCAAACUCAGAGAUGUGUUUCUUAUAAAAUGCAUUUUGAAGCUCUUUGCGCGAAAAUUCAGUGUCAUAAUUGAUUUAUUUGAAUGCAUUUGUUGUAUUUUAGAUUAGAUAAAAGAACAAGCAGUGAUAGAAUGCAUGAUUUACAAAUUAUUCAUUUAUCUUUUCUACAAUAAACAUAUUUUUUUCGUAAUUAUACUGGCAUUGGGGAAAUAUUUCAGAUUUACAGCGUGCAGUUUCUGUUUUCACUCUUGAAAUGUACAUCGGAGCUUCGAUAGUUUUUUUUUUUUUUACGUACAAAUACAGCUGUGGUACUGAGGGCUCAUUUAUUGUUUUGUAUAUCAACAUUCGACAUUAUGAAAAAUACCAGAAGAAAGCUUAACAAUGUGUUAUUUAUAAAAACAGAUUUUGUCCUGUAACUACAGCUGUUAACAUUUUUAUUUGCUCCUAACAAAUACACUGUAAAUGUCAACUCACACCGAAAACAUAAGUUUAAUCGUCUUCAUUAUUGUAAAGUAAAAACAAAGCAUGCAUUGCACUUUUUCAACCACUUUACUGAUUAAAUAUAAAGCUCACAAAAUUAGUUCAUUUGCAGAAGUUGUUUCUUAUAAGAAUAUUUGAUGAUUUAAGAUUUAUCUCACACCACAAACUGAUCAUGGAACAAGAAGUCAUUUUCACACACUUUCACCAAAAGAUAAAAUGGAAUGAAAGUCGCAGCCCCGUUUACUGAAGUUCAGAAGAAGCUAAAUUAAAAAAAAGACAACAUGAAUCCCACAAACUGCAUUUAAUGUAGCGAUAUCUCAAGAGCUUAACAAUUCCACAUGUAUAAAAUGGUAAACUGCUCAGGGACAAUCGUAUCAUAUAUAAAACAUGAUUUCUAAACGAUAAGCAGUAUAGGGCCUAUACACACUCAAAGGCUAUUCACUUUAAGUUUUCCAAAAAUAUAAAAUAGAAAUCAAUUCAUGCUUGGAUAUCUGUUUUUAAACAUGUCGAGACAUCAAUAUGUGUCUUUAACUUUGGAACAUGGCACGACUUAAUCAGUAAACGGUCACGCAAUGGUGUAUUCAUUAACUAUAGAAAUCGGGAAUGUUUUGCAGUCAAACAGAAGGGUGUGUACAGUGAUCCAGAAUUGGCAGACGCACACGCUUUGUACCCGCUGCUCACCAACUUGGAAUUCCCCUCGGGAAAGCAAAGGACAAGGAAGUCUUCCUUUAGCCACACGUUGACUUCUUUUUUACUUGAACUGCUUUCCCUCCCACUUCUGCACAACGUGAUGUCUGAUCGCGGAACUGAUCCCAGCACACACGUCUUCGUCUGACAAAAUAAAUAAAUAAAAUAAUAACAAACAAGGUUAUUGUUAUUUUUCUCAUAGAGUGCAGUCCAGCAAUAUAAUUUCCAUCAGACUUUAAGCACGCGGAUGGACUAGUCCGGGAAGCUCCAGUUCAAACUGGUUACGUUUUUGUAGGGAAACGAAAAGGAUUUCUGACUUUUUCACCUCAG
ensembl:lncRNA